GGGUAAAGGCCUACCAAGGCGACGAUCAGUAGCUGGUCUGAGAGGACGACCAGCCACACUGGGACUGAGACACGGCCCAGACUCCUACGGGAGGCAGCAGUGGGGAAUUUUGGACAAUGGGCGAAAGCCUGAUCCAGCAAUGCCGCGUGUGUGAAGAAGGCCUUCGGGUUGUAAAGCACUUUUGUCCGGAAAGAAAUCCUUGGUCCUAAUAUGGCCGGGGGAUGACGGUACCGGAAGAAUAAGCACCGGCUAACUACGUGCCAGCAGCCGCGGUAAUACGUAGGGUGCAAGCGUUAAUCGGAAUUACUGGGCGUAAAGCGUGCGCAGGCGGUUUGCUAAGACCGAUGUGAAAUCCCCGGGCUCAACCUGGGAACUGCAUUGGUGACUGGCAGGCUAGAGUAUGGCAGAGGGGGGUAGAAUUCCACGUGUAGCAGUGAAAUGCGUAGAGAUGUGGAGGAAUACCGAUGGCGAAGGCAGCCCCCUGGGCCAAUACUGACGCUCAUGCACGAAAGCG
rnacentral:rRNA from 1 species